ACGAGUUUGAUCAUGGCUCAGGACGAACGCUGGCGGCGUGCUUAACACAUGCAAGUCGAACGGUGACGAGGAGCUUGCUCCUCCGAUCAGUGGCGAACGGGUGAGUAACACGUGAGCAACCUGCCCCUCACUCUGGGAUAACAGUUGGAAACAGCUGCUAAUACCGGCUACGACACAGAACAGGCAUCUGUACUGUGUGGAAAGUUCUUCGGUGAGGGAUGGGCUCGCGGCCUAUCAGUUUGUUGGUGGGGUAAUGGCCUACCAAGACGACGACGGGUAGCCGGCCUGAGAGGGCGACCGGCCACACUGGGACUGAGACACGGCCCAGACUCCUACGGGAGGCAGCAGUGGGGAAUAUUGCACAAUGGGCGAAAGCCUGAUGCAGCGACGCCGCGUGAGGGAUGACGGCCUUCGGGUUGUAAACCUCUUUCAGCAGGGAAGAAGCGAAAGUGACGGUACCUGCAGAAGAAGCACCGGCUAACUACGUG
rnacentral:rRNA from 1 species